rnacentral:rRNA from 1 species
AAAGGGAGCGUAGGCCGCCCCUUAAGCGUGUUGUGAAAUGCGGGUGCUCAACAUCCGACUUGCAGCGCGAACUGGGGGGCUUGAGUGCGCCGAAAGUAGGCGGAAUUCGUGGUGUAGCGGUGAAAUGCUUAGAUAUCACGAAGAACUCCGAUUGCGAAGGCAGCUUACUGUAGCGCAACUGACGCUGAUGCUCGAAAGCGUGGGUAUCGAACAGGAUUAGAUACCCUGGUAGUCCACGCGGUAAACGAUGGAUGCUCGUUGUCGGCCUUUGAGGCCGGUGACCAAGCGAAAGCGUUAAGCAUCCCACCUGGGGAGUACGCCGGCAACGGUGAAACUCAAAGGAAUUGACGGGGGCCCGCACAAGCGGAGGAACAUGUGGUUUAAUUCGAUGAUACGCGAGGAACCUUACCCGGGCUUGAACUGCGGCGGAACGAUUCCGAGAGGAUGAGGCCCUUCGGGGCUGCCGCGGAGGUGCUGCAUGGUUGUCGUCAGCUCGUGUCGUGAG